rnacentral:rRNA from 1 species
CACGUAGGGCGCAAGCGUUGUCCGGAAUUAUUGGGCGUAAAGGGCUCGUAGGCGGUCCAUCGCGUCGGGAGUGAAAAGCUGGGGCUUAACCCCAGUCCUGCUUCCGAUACGGGUGGACUAGAGGUAGGUAGGGGGAGAACGGAAUUCCUGGUGUAGCGGUGAAAUGCGCAGAUAUCGGAAGGAACACCAGUGGCGAAAGCGGCUUCCUGGUCCAGCACCGACGUCAGGCACGAAAGCGUGGGGAGCAAACAGG